AAGUCGUAACAAGGUUUCCGUAGGUGAACCUGCGGAAGGAUCAUUAAUGAAAUGCUAGGGCGCUCUUUUUAGAGGUCUGACCUAUUCAUUUUCUCACACUGUGCACAUACUAUUUACACCCUUUUUUAACACUAAAGUAAUAAGAAUGUCAAUCGUCUCUUAAUUGAGCCAUCAAUUGUAAUAA
rnacentral:misc_RNA from 1 species